rnacentral:rRNA from 1 species
UACGAAGGGUGCAAACGUUGCUCGGAAUCAUUGGGCGUAAAGCGCACGUAGGCGGCCUUGUAAGUCGGAUGUGAAAUCCCACGGCUCAACCGUGGAAGUGCAUCCGAAACUGCGAGGCUCGAGUAUGGAAGAGGGUCGCAGAAUUCCCGGUGUAGAGGUGAAAUUCGUAGAUAUCGGGAGGAAUACCAGUGGCGAAGGCGGCGACCUGGGCCAAUACUGACGCUGAGGUGCGAAAAGCGUGGGGGAGCAAACAGG